UCCAGAAGCUGUCAGGUUCUG
rnacentral:piRNA from 1 species